rnacentral:rRNA from 1 species
GAUCAAGCUACAAAGAGCGCAGAGGAGGAUGCCUUGGUAUAUGGCGCCGAAGAAGGACGUGACAAGCUGCGAAAAGCUGCGGAGAGUUGCAAAUGAACGUUGACCCGCAGAUAUCCGAAUGAGGGAACUCACCAUAAGUAAUGUUAUGGUAUCGUAUACUGAAUCAAUAGGUAUACGAGGGGAACCCGGGGAACUGAAACAUCUCAUUACCCGGAGGAAAAGAAAGAAAAAUCGAUUCUGAAAGUAGUGGCGAGCGAAAUUGGAAGAGCCCAAACCGCAUGUAGCAAUACGUGCGGGGUAUGGACCCCGUUUAGCACUAAGAAUGAUAGUGGAACGUGACUGGAAAGUCAGACCGGAGAGGGUAAAAGUCCCGUAGACGAAAUUGUUCGAAGGCGAGGGGUAUCCGGAGUACGUCGGGACCCGAGGAAUCCUGACGGUAGACAGGAGGACCAUCUCCUAAGGCUAAAU